UACGGAGGAUGCGAGCGUUAUCCGGAUUUAUUGGGUUUAAAGGGUGCGUAGGCGGGCCGGUAAGUCAGCGGUGAAAUCCCGUGGCUCAACCAUGGAAUUGCCGUUGAAACUGCUGGUCUUGAAUAUGGUCAAGGUAGGCGGAAUGCGUAAUGUAGCGGUGAAAUGCUUAGAUAUUACGCGGAACACCUAUUGCGAAGGCAGCUUGCUGGGCCAGUAUUGACGCUGAGGCACGAAAGCGUGGGUAGCGAACAGGAUUAGAUACC
rnacentral:rRNA from 1 species